AUUUGCUGUUCAGUAUCACAAUUGGGCUGUUCUUGAAUCUAUCGGUUAGCAUCAGUGAAACAUUUGGAAGUUUGAGGACAAUGAGUUUGAAAUAGUUCUCCAUGUCACGAAUCCUUGCCUCUUCUUGCUUUUCCUUAAAAUCUUUCUUUCAUUUCCCCUCAAGGCCUAGCUAGUCUUACGAACAUCCAAGUACAAGGAUCUAACUUUGGUUGCCCUAGCAAGCAGAAAUGAGAAGGCUGGCAGGGGGCAUUUGGGGAGAAGGCAUCUGUCCACAGCAGCAGCAAGACAAAAGAAAGGAGAACAGAAGGAGGAAGGUUACUUAGGGCUUCUGAGGUUCUUGCCCAGAAACCCUACAGCAAAGCAGUGGACUCUUGGUUAUUGCAUAUAUGCUGGAACUCAAGAAGAAGAAACAGAAAAUAG